CUGGUUGGAUCGCGGCGAUUUUAAGAUGACUCUGAGAUACAUGAAUCUGCUCAAGGGUGCGCCGAGAAGCAUCGCCAGAGACUGGAUGAACGAGACCAGGAUCCUGCUGGAGACGCAGCAGGCGAUCAACACCCUACUGGCGUACGCAGGUGCGAUCGGUCUCGUAUAUCUCGGCGCUGGAGAUUCGCCCAAGAAGUAAAGGCGGACAGAGAACCACAGAAGAGAGGCUGUCCCGAACCACACACACGAGGGAAUGUCUAUAGAGGAACGGGGCGGGGGUGACAGAGGAGAAUAGGGAGAGACAGAUGGCACCGACGACGAACUGAAGGGAAACGAGAACGGAAGGAUGAACGCGGGGAGAAAUCGCUGCCAGCCUUGUAUAGUCACAGAAAUGUCUUUUCUAGCAAUUAAAAUAUAGGAAUAUAUAUAUUGUGUGCCGAGAGAGGUAAUGCAGACAGUGAAACACUUUUCUUUGCCAGUCCUCGAGGACUCCCAUCCUUGUACGGAAAUGUACUUUCGCGCGCUUUGAAUUUUUCAACGAGAUUCAAAUCUUAUGUAUGAAACGUACGCGAAGAUUUUAAAUACUUGUCGGAUAUAUAGAUUUCGAGCGAGCUGUUGAAUGGAAUACGAACGUUGUAGUGAAUACGAAAUCACUUAUCUGAUAAUAUAUUUUGCUUCGAUAAAUACUUUUUUGCUUGAUUAUAUAUAUAAGAAGAAACCACUUCCCUUAUAUUGAUUGAGAGAAGAAUAUAAAGAAAAAGUUUAUUUUUAUUUUUGCAUACCACUAUUCCACCCAACAGCUCGAAUCGUGUGUGAUGAGGGUACAGAAAGUUACCGAAUACAGUGUAAAUAUCGAACACGAUCGUACUUCUAAAGAGACGACGGUAUAAGAAAGCAUUUAAGCGCGUCCCACAUUUAUUACAACGUGAAAAUACAAAGUCCCGGAUGUUUUUAAAUUAUUAUUUUCGCGUUUAAUCAUGCCUGUAACUUUGAUAAUCACGUUCGAUGGCGGCGGGCGUGUUUUGAGCUCUCCUUGUCCUGAUCCAUCCAUCCAUCCAUCUAUCUACCCAUCCAUCCAUCCAUCCAUCUCGAGAGUACCUUUUACUUUAUAACCGGAUAUUACUCUCCCGCGCACCGAACUCCCGUCGCGAAUCACAUCGAUCGUUCGCGUGCCGUUACCUCGUCUUUCGCCUCUCACACGAAAACCUUGGCGAUUUCGCACGGGACGGGGAAGCGUGCUAGGAAUCAUUGUAAAAAUUGGAAAUAAAGUUGUUUCCUGACGUAA